GUGUAUCUGUGUGCUCCAGAGAGAGGAGUUUGUAGUGUAUCUGUGUGCUCCAGAGAGAGGAGUUUGUAGUGUAUCUGUGUGCUCCAGAGAGAGGAGUUUGUAGUGUAUCUGUGUGCUACAGAGAGAGGAGUUUGUAGUGUAUCUGUGUGCUACAGAGAGAGGAGUUUGUAGUGUAUCUGUGUGCUCCAGAGAGAGGAGUUUGUAGUGUAUCUGUGUGCGUUUUUGGUACCUAAUGAAACUGAUAUUUGUCAGUCCCCUUCACUUUCCCAAAUGUUGUUACAUUACAGCCUUAUUCUAAAAUGGAUUAAAUACUGCAUUUCCCUCAUCAAUCUACACACAAUACACCAUCAUGACAUCACAAUACCCCAUGAUGACAUCACAAUACCCCAUGAUGACAUCACAAUAGCCCAUCAUUACAUCACAAUACCCCAUCAUGACAUCACAAUACCUCAUUAUGACAUCACAAUACCCCAUAAUGACAUCACAAUACCACAUAAUGGCAAAACGAAAACAGGUUUUUUGAAAUUUGUGCAAAUGUAUAAAAAAUUCUAAACAGAAAUAACUUAUUUACAUACGUAUUCAGACC
rnacentral:lncRNA from 1 species